rnacentral:rRNA from 1 species
UACGGAGGGUGCGAGCGUUAAUCGGAAUUACUGGGCGUAAAGGGCGCGUAGGCGGUGAAGUAAGUCGGGUGUGAAAGCCCCGGGCUCAACCUGGGAACGGCAUCCGAUACUGCUUCGCUAGAGUAUGGUAGAGGGAAGCGGAAUUCCGGGUGUAGCGGUGAAAUGCGUAGAUAUCCGGAGGAACACCAGUGGCGAAGGCGGCUUCCUGGACCAAUACUGACGCUGAGGCGCGAAAGCGUGGGGAUCAAACAGG